GGCUGGUCCAAGUGCAGUGGUAUUUACAACAAAGUGAUAACAGCUAGUUACAGAUUUCUUUGUGCUUUCUUCACUCCCACUGUUUCACUUGACUAGCCUUAA
rnacentral:Y_RNA from 1 species